UGGGGUAUAGCUCAUUGGUAGAGUGUGUGCUUAGCAUACGUGAAGUCUGGGGUUCAAUCCCCAGUGCCUCCA
rnacentral:tRNA from 1 species